rnacentral:rRNA from 1 species
CGGGUGGUAAUGCCGGAUGCUCCAGUUGACCGCAUGGUCCUCUGGGAAAGCUUUUGCGGUAUGGGAUGGGGUCGCGUCCUAUCAGCUUGAUGGCGGGGUAACGGCCCACCAUGGCUUCGACGGGUAGCCGGCCUGAGAGGGCGACCGGCCACAUUGGGACUGAGAUACGGCCCAGACUCCUACGGGAGGCAGCAGUGGGGAAUAUUGCACAAUGGGCGCAAGCCUGAUGCAGCGACGCCGCGUGCGGGAUGACGGCCUUCGGGUUGUAAACCGCUUUUGACUGGGAGCAAGCCCUUCGGGGUGAGUGUACCUUUCGAAUAAGCACCGGCUAACUACGUGCCAGCAGCCGCGGUAAUACGUAGGGUGCAAGCGUUAUCCGGAAUUAUUGGGCGUAAAGGGCUCGUAGGCGGUUCGUCGCGUCCGGUGUGAAAGUCCAUCGCUUAACGGUGGAUCCGCGCCGGGUACGGGCGGGCUUGAGUGCGGUAGGGGAGACUGGAAUUCCCGGUGUAACGGUGGAAUGUGUAGAUAUCGGAAAAAA